rnacentral:rRNA from 1 species
CACGAACGCUGGCGGCAGGCUUAACACACGCAAGUCGAGCGCCCCGCAAGGGGAGCGGCAGACGGGUGAGUAACGCGUGGGAAUCUACCCAUCUCUACGGAAUAACGCAUGGAAACGUGUGCUAAUACCGUAUACGUCCUUCGGGAGAAAGAUUUAUCGGAGAUGGAUGAGCCCGCGUUGGAUUAGCUAGUUGGUGGGGUAAAGGCCUACCAAGGCGACGAUCCAUAGCUGGUCUGAGAGGAUGAUCAGCCACACUGGGACUGAGACACGACCCAGACUCCUACGGGAGGCAGCAGUGGGGAAUAUUGGACAAUGGGCGCAAGCCUGAUCCAGCCAUGCCGCGUGAGUGAUGAAGGCCCUAGGGUUGUAAAGCUCUUUCACCGGUGAAGAUAAUGACGGUAACCGGAGAAGAAGCCCCGGCUAACUUCGUGCCAGCCGCCGCCGUAACAC